rfam:Peptoniphilus harei ACS-146-V-Sch2b contig00004, whole genome shotgun sequence.
AAAACUCUUCAGGGCGAGGUGCAAUUCCUCACCGGCGGUAAAAGUCCGCGAGCGAAAGCUGAAUUGGUGCAAUUCCAAUACCGACAGUAUAGUCUGGAUGAAAGAAGAUAAUU